UCCAGUGUGAGUCUUCAGUUAAGUUCUCUGCAAAUGCUUUCACAGACACACCCAGAGGUGUGUCCUAGGUGACUCCAGAUACAAGUUGGCAAUGGCGGCUAACUAUGAAUAUUCUUGUAAAGAGAAAUGAGUAUGCUACAGAGAAAGGCAGGAAAUAUCCAUUCAGACCUCUGAUGGAAACUGGCUAAAUCUUUGAGUGGGAAGAAGACAGAGGGAGACAGACAGGAAAGAAGGAAGGAGACUUCUGAAAAGUCUGCAGACACAGAGCCGGGAUGUGCCCCCUGGGACCUUGACGUUCAUUGAAGCGAAUAAAAAGUCUUCUGCAUUCUUCGCCCCAGGAAAAUGAUUGACAACCAGCUACUGUAUGAAGAGGAAAAAUUGCCCUGGAAAUGAUGAGAAUCUCCUCAAAAUAAAGUCAUGAAAUGAUUCUUUAUAA